ensembl:lncRNA
ACAUAAACUGCCAACACAAAAGGACACAUUAUUCUAUUAAUAAUCAUUCUUAAAUGCGUAUAUAGUUAAAUGAGUCAUUUGUGAACACAGAAAGAUGCAUGAGAAAAAUGCAAGUCAACCAACACCAGCUGCAGUGUAAUCUAAAACAUGAAAUGUGCUAAUAUAUAAUAAUGUAUAAUGUGUUAGUACAACUAUGAAGCGCUAAUCUAAAGCAGCUCUUUUCUAGAGGGCCUGAAGACCCUGUCUCUGUCACGUGUUUUAUUUUAUCACAGCGUAUCUGCAGGAUCAGAAUGAGCGCUUCAGAGGAAAUGAUGGCGAUUCUCCAGAACGUCUGGACCAAACUGCAGGGUCUUCCUCAAGACCACCCGCUCACGCAGGCGGCGUUUCUCAUCAUGCUGCUGUUCUUCUUGACAUUCAUCGCUCUGAUCGUGACUGGAUGUGUUUAUGGCCGAUGUGGCUGCUGUAAGACAGGGACCAGAAACAGAGUCUCCGCCGUCUGAAACAUGGGCUCCACAAUAAAGAGGAAGAUGGUGGGGGGAGUUUUGUGUUGUCAAAUCAGAAGAGCUUCAAUGAGAAAAACGUUCAACCUUAAUUAUGAACGUCACAAAUAAACAAUAAAUUCCCAACCUCUCUCAUUAUGGGAAUGCAACCUCUAUGAAACCAGUGCCAAAUACUGCCCUCAAGUGUUGCAGAGAUGAAGAAACCAGAGGCGGACAGUUGUGUGUAGAUCAAAUGCUGUUCUUUUGUACAUUCUGUUCAUCAAAGAAUCCUGGAAAAGCAAAUCAGAAUGAUUUCUGAAGGAUCGUGUGACACUGAAGACUGGAGUAAUGAUGCUGAAAAUACAGCUGCGCAUCACAGGAAUAAAUUACAUUUUAAAAUAUAUUCAUAUAGACAACCGUUUCAAUAUAUUAUUGUUUUUACUGUAUUUUAAUUAAAUAAAUGCAGUCUUGAUGAGCAGAAGUGACAUCUUUUAAAAACAUUAAAAAUCUUACCGACCACAAACUUUUGUAUUAAGAUUAUGUUCUAUAUUCAGGAAAAUGGAGCAGAAUCUAGGUGAAAUUAAAUGGAAAUAAUCAAAUAUGCAUAUCAUCUAAAAUGACAUGUAUUUGAUGUAUAUAAAGUGAGCUAAAUAUUCAUGCAUGUUUCUUCACGUUAUUGUUUUAUUAAACAUUUAUUACACCCUUAAGCCAGAAUUUAAAGUGUCUGUGUUUGAGCUCACCCUUCUUGUUCACAAAAAGCAACCAUUGCCUCAAAG